rnacentral:rRNA from 1 species
GACGAACGCUGGCGGCGUGCCUAAUACAUGCAAGUCGAGCGGACCACUUCGGUGGUCAGCGGCGGACGGGUGAGUAACACGUGGGCAACCUGCCUGUAAGACUGGGAUAACACCGGGAAACCGGUGCUAAUACCGGAUAAUCCUUUCCUUCACAUGAGGGAAAGCUGAAAGACGGUUUCGGCUGUCACUUACAGAUGGGCCCGCGGCGCAUUAGCUAGUUGGUGAGGUAACGGCUCACCAAGGCAACGAUGCGUAGCCGACCUGAGAGGGUGAUCGGCCACACUGGGACUGAGACACGGCCCAGACUCCUACGGGAGGCAGCAGUAGGGAAUCUUCCGCAAUGGACGAAAGUCUGACGGAGCAACGCCGCGUGAGCGAUGAAGGCCUUCGGGUCGUAAAGCUCUGUUGUCAGGGAAGAACAAGUACCGGAGUAACUGCCGGUACCUUGACGGUACCUGACCAGAAAGCCACGGCUAACUACGUGCCAGCCGCCGCCGUAA